GGGUUGUGAGGUUAAGCGACUAAGCGUACACGGUGGAUGCCCUGGCAGUCAGAGGCGAUGAAGGACGUGCUAAUCUGCGAUAAGCGUCGGUAAGGUGAUAUGAACCGUUAUAACCGGCGAUUUCCGAAUGGGGAAACCCAGUGUGUUUCGACACACUAUCAUUAACUGAAUCCAUAGGUUAAUGAGGCGAACCGGGGGAACUGAAACAUCUAAGUACCCCGAGGAAAAGAAAUCAACCGAGAUUCCCCCAGUAGCGGCGAGCGAACGGGGAGCAGCCCAGAGCCUGAAUCAGUGUGUGUGUUAGUGGAAGCGUCUGGAAAGGCGCGCGAUACAGGGUGACAGCCCCGUACACAAAAAUGCACAUACUGUGAGCUCGAUGAGUAGGGCGGGACACGUGGUAUCCUGUCUGAAUAUGGGGGGACCAUCCUCCAAGGCUAAAUACUCCUGACUGACCGAUAGUGAACCAGUACCGUGAGGGAAAGGCGAAAAGAACCCCGGCGAGGGGAGUGAAAAAGAACCUGAAACCGUGUACGUACAAGCAGUGGGAGCACGCUUAGGCGUGUGACUGCGUACCUUUUGUAUAAUGGGUCAGCGACUUAUAUUCUGUAGCAAGGUUAACCGAAUAGGGGAGCCGAAGGGAAACCGAGUCUUAACUGGGCGUUAAGUUGCAGGGUAUAGACCCGAAACCCGGUGAUCUAGCCAUGGGCAGGUUGAAGGUUGGGUAACACUAACUGGAGGACCGAACCGACUAAUGUUGAAAAAUUAGCGGAUGACUUGUGGCUGGGGGUGAAAGGCCAAUCAAACCGGGAGAUAGCUGGUUCUCCCCGAAAGCUAUUUAGGUAGCGCCUCGUGAAUUCAUCUCCGGGGGUAGAGCACUGUUUCGGCAAGGGGGUCAUCCCGACUUACCAACCCGAUGCAAACUGCGAAUACCGGAGAAUGUUAUCACGGGAGACACACGGCGGGUGCUAACGUCCGUCGUGAAGAGGGAAACAACCCAGACCGCCAGCUAAGGUCCCAAAGUCAUGGUUAAGUGGGAAACGAUGUGGGAAGGCCCAGACAGCCAGGAUGUUGGCUUAGAAGCAGCCAUCAUUUAAAGAAAGCGUAAUAGCUCACUGGUCGAGUCGGCCUGCGCGGAAGAUGUAACGGGGCUAAACCAUGCACCGAAGCUGCGGCAGCGACGCUUAUGCGUUGUUGGGUAGGGGAGCGUUCUGUAAGCCUGCGAAGGUGUGCUGUGAGGCAUGCUGGAGGUAUCAGAAGUGCGAAUGCUGACAUAAGUAACGAUAAAGCGGGUGAAAAGCCCGCUCGCCGGAAGACCAAGGGUUCCUGUCCAACGUUAAUCGGGGCAGGGUGAGUCGACCCCUAAGGCGAGGCCGAAAGGCGUAGUCGAUGGGAAACAGGUUAAUAUUCCUGUACUUGGUGUUACUGCGAAGGGGGGACGGAGAAGGCUAUGUUGGCCGGGCGACGGUUGUCCCGGUUUAAGCGUGUAGGCUGGUUUUCCAGGCAAAUCCGGAAAAUCAAGGCUGAGGCGUGAUGACGAGGCACUACGGUGCUGAAGCAACAAAUGCCCUGCUUCCAGGAAAAGCCUCUAAGCAUCAGGUAACAUCAAAUCGUACCCCAAACCGACACAGGUGGUCAGGUAGAGAAUACCAAGGCGCUUGAGAGAACUCGGGUGAAGGAACUAGGCAAAAUGGUGCCGUAACUUCGGGAGAAGGCACGCUGAUAUGUAGGUGAAGUCCCUCGCGGAUGGAGCUGAAAUCAGUCGAAGAUACCAGCUGGCUGCAACUGUUUAUUAAAAACACAGCACUGUGCAAACACGAAAGUGGACGUAUACGGUGUGACGCCUGCCCGGUGCCGGAAGGUUAAUUGAUGGGGUCAGCGCAAGCGAAGCUCUUGAUCGAAGCCCCGGUAAACGGCGGCCGUAACUAUAACGGUCCUAAGGUAGCGAAAUUCCUUGUCGGGUAAGUUCCGACCUGCACGAAUGGCGUAAUGAUGGCCAGGCUGUCUCCACCCGAGACUCAGUGAAAUUGAACUCGCUGUGAAGAUGCAGUGUACCCGCGGCAAGACGGAAAGACCCCGUGAACCUUUACUAUAGCUUGACACUGAACAUUGAGCCUUGAUGUGUAGGAUAGGUGGGAGGCUUUGAAGUGUGGACGCCAGUCUGCAUGGAGCCGACCUUGAAAUACCACCCUUUAAUGUUUGAUGUUCUAACGUUGACCCGUAAUCCGGGUUGCGGACAGUGUCUGGUGGGUAGUUUGACUGGGGCGGUCUCCUCCUAAAGAGUAACGGAGGAGCACGAAGGUUGGCUAAUCCUGGUCGGACAUCAGGAGGUUAGUGCAAUGGCAUAAGCCAGCUUGACUGCGAGCGUGACGGCGCGAGCAGGUGCGAAAGCAGGUCAUAGUGAUCCGGUGGUUCUGAAUGGAAGGGCCAUCGCUCAACGGAUAAAAGGUACUCCGGGGAUAACAGGCUGAUACCGCCCAAGAGUUCAUAUCGACGGCGGUGUUUGGCACCUCGAUGUCGGCUCAUCACAUCCUGGGGCUGAAGUAGGUCCCAAGGGUAUGGCUGUUCGCCAUUUAAAGUGGUACGCGAGCUGGGUUUAGAACGUCGUGAGACAGUUCGGUCCCUAUCUGCCGUGGGCGCUGGAGAACUGAGGGGGGCUGCUCCUAGUACGAGAGGACCGGAGUGGACGCAUCACUGGUGUUCGGGUUGUCAUGCCAAUGGCACUGCCCGGUAGCUAAAUGCGGAAGAGAUAAGUGCUGAAAGCAUCUAAGCACGAAACUUGCCCCGAGAUGAGUUCUCCCUGACCCUUUAAGGGUCCUGAAGGAACGUUGAAGACGACGACGUUGAUAGGCCGGGUGUGUAAGCGCAGCGAUGCGUUGAGCUAACCGGUACUAAUGAACCGUGAGGCUUAACCUUACAACGCCGAAG
rnacentral:rRNA from 1 species